CCGUGCCCUAACCUCCUAGCGCCGGCGGUUACCUCUUCCUCUCCGAUCGAACGCCGGCCAAGCUUCUUCUUCCUCUCUCUUCCUCCUCGCCAGCGUUUGAGCAAGAGCCGCCAGAUCCCUCUCCUCUCAUCGCGCCGCACACCUUCGCCCUCCUCUGUGCGCCGUCGGCCGACCAAGCCAGUGCUGGUCCUCAUUUCCGACGAGCCACAGUCGCUGAGCCACCAGUGCCGAUUCCCCUCUUAUUUGCGCCGACGCCCCUCCCUGGGCUCGCGACACCGCCGCCCUUUCUCCCGAUCGCUGGCGUGAAGAGGCGACUAGGGUUCCAAGGAUCUUUGAUUUUCCUUUUCUUGCUGUGAUAGAAGUCUCGAUUGAAGGUAGUUGUCGACAGAAGCUUUAGGGCAAUGAGGUGGAUUUCCAGCAGCCACCUUGUUUAUGGCUGUGAACUUGAGGACCUUGACGCGAGACGAUAUCUCGACGUCAGAUUUGGACCAGAUACGAUCCUUUCUUUUUGGAGGCGCGUACUUUUGACUUAUAUCAUUUGAUAUACAUAGUAGUGAAUUUAACAAGUUGAAUUAAUUAUGUCCUUUAUUUGUUUCAGUUAGUCACUACCCAAUAUC